GGAUGUGAGGGUGAUCUGGCUAUGAGAUCUGGCACCCCACUGAUCACCAGGGUUGACUCAUCUGAUCUGGCUGGCUAGGCAGGUGCCCCCUUCCUCCCUCACCACUCCAUGUGCGUCCCUCCCCAAGCCACAUGCUCAGUCGAAGAGGACGACUUCCUGAAAUAGAGGAGGGCCAGUCUUCGGCCAAGGGUACGUGAGUAGCUGCACUCCCCUGCUAGAACCUCCAAACAAGCUCUCAAAGGCAAAAAUGCAGUUCCUGUGGGACUCGGCAAUUUU
rnacentral:snRNA from 1 species